rnacentral:rRNA from 1 species
GACGAACGCUGGCGGCGUGCUUAACACAUGCAAGUCGAACGGAAAGGCCCUGCUUUUGUGGGGUGCUCGAGUGGCGAACGGGUGAGUAACACGUGAGUAACCUGCCCUUGACUUUGGGAUAACUUCAGGAAACUGGGGCUAAUACCGUAUAGGAGCUCCUGCUGCAUGGUGGGGGUUGGAAAGUUUCGGCGGUUGGGGAUGGACUCGCGGCUUAUCAGCUUGUUGGUGGGGUAGUGGCUUACCAAGGCUUUGACGGGUAGCCGGCCUGAGAGGGUGGCCGGCCACAUUGGGACUGAGAUACGGCGCAGACGCCAACGGGAGGCAGCAGUGGGGAAUAUGGCACAAUGGGCGGGAGCCUGAGGAGGCAGCGCCGCGUGCGGGAUGACGGCCUUCGGGUUGUGAACCGCUUUCGCCUGUGACGAAGCGUGAGUGACGGUAAUGGGUAAAGAAGCACCGGCUAACUACGUG